rnacentral:rRNA from 1 species
GGGGGAAAAAUUAAUAGUUUAUAAAUAAUAAAAAAAAUUUUAAUAUUAAAAAUAUAUGGGGGUUAAAGUAUUUUUAAUAGAAUAAAUUAAAAAUUUUAUAGAGAAAUAGUAUUGUAGAAGAAAUUUGAAAUAUUUUAAAUAAAAAAUUGUUUUAAAGUAAAUUUUAUUUAUUGUAUCUUGUGUAUCAGAGUUUAUUAAAUAUGAAUUUUUAAAAAAAAAAAUCUCGAAUUUAAAAGAGAUAAUUAAUUAAUAAAGUUAAUGUAGCAUAAUUAUUUUUAAUAAUUAAUUUGAAAUGAAAUGUUAAUCGUUUUUAAAUAUAUCUAGUUUUUUUAGAAAAAAAUUUAAUUUUAAAUUUAAAUAAUUUUAUAAUUUAUUUUAUAAUUAUAAAAAAAAUUAAAUUUUAUAUUUUAGGGGAUAAGCUUUAAAUUAAAUAUUUAUAAUUUAAAUAAGUAAAAAUUAAAAUUUUUAAAAUUUAUAUUGUUUAAAAAUUAUAGUUUUUUAUAAAAAAUUUUAUAAAAAAUAAAAUUUAAUAGAAAAAAUUUAAUUUUUUAUAAAAAAAUAUUUUUUAAUUUAUUAAAAUUAGUUAUAAUGAUAAAAUUAGUAUAUUAGUAAUGAAUAAAAUAAAAUUUAAUUAUUUAAAUAAUUUAAAGGAAUUCGGCAAAAAUUUAUAUUCACUUGUUUAUCAAAAACAUGUCUUUUAGAUAAUAAUUUAAAGUCUAAUCUGCCCACUGAUUUUAUAUUAAAGGGCUGCAGUAUAUUGACUGUACAAAGGUAGCAUAAUCAUUAGUCUUUUAAUUGAAGACUUGUAUGAAAGAUUUGAUGAGAUAUAAACUGUCUCUAAAUUAUUAGUAAAAUUUAAUUUUUUAGUUAAAAAGCUAAAAUAAUUUUAAAAGACGAGAAGACCCUAUAGAGUUUUAUAAAUUUAUUAUUUAAGAUUAUAUAUAUAAAUAAAAAUUAAAAUUAAUUAAUUUAUUUUAUUGGGGUGAUAAAAAAAUUAAAUAAACUUUUUUUAAAAAUUAUACAAUAAUAAAUGAUUAAAUGAUCCAUAAAUAAUGAUUAUAAGAAAAAAUUACCUUAGGGAUAACAGCGUAAUAUUUUUUUUUAGUACAAAUAAAAAAAAAAGUUUGCGACCUCGAUGUUGGAUUAAGAUAAAAUUUAAAUGCAAAAGUUUAAAAUUUUGAUCUGUUCGAUCAUUAAAAUCUUACAUGAUCUGAGUUCAAACCGGUGUGAGCCAGGUUGGUUUCUAUCUUUAAAGAAUUAAAAUAUUUUAGUACGAAAGGAUCAAAUAUUUAAAAUAAUUUUAAUAAAUGAAUAUUAUUAAUUAAAAAGAUUAUAAAUUU